AUUGAACGCUGGCGGCAUGCCUUACACAUGCAAGUCGAACGGCAGCGGACCUUCGGGUGCCGGCGAGUGGCGAACGGGUGAGUAAUAUAUCGGAACGUACCUUUCAGUGGGGGAUAACGUAGCGAAAGUUACGCUAAUACCGCAUAUUCUGUGAGCAGGAAAGCAGGGGAACGCAAGACCUUGCGCUGAUUGAGCGGCCGAUAUCAGAUUAGCUAGUUGGUGAGGUAAAGGCGUCACCAAGGCGACGAUCUGUAGCGGGUCUGAGAGGAUGAUCCGCCACACUGGAACUGAGACACGGUCCAGACUCCUACGGGAGGCAGCAGUAGGGAAUUUUGGACAAUGGGCGCAAGCCUGAUCCAGCCAUGCCGCGUGAGUGAAGAA
rnacentral:rRNA from 1 species